GAACGGCAGCAUGAUCUAGCUUGCUAGAUUGAUGGCGAGUGGCGAACGGGUGAGUAAUACAUCGGAACGUGCCCUGUAGUGGGGGAUAACUAGUCGAAAGAUUAGCUAAUACCGCAUACGACCUGAGGGUGAAAGUGGGGGACCGCAAGGCCUCAUGCUAUAGGAGCGGCCGAUGUCUGAUUAGCUAGUUGGUGAGGUAAAGGCUCACCAAGGCGACGAUCAGUAGCUGGUCUGAGAGGACGAUCAGCCACACUGGGACUGAGACACGGCCCAGACUCCUACGGGAGGCAGCAGUGGGGAAUUUUGGACAAUGGGGGCAACCCUGAUCCAGCAAUGCCGCGUGUGUGAAGAAGGCCUUCGGGUUGUAAAGCACUUUUGUCCGGAAAGAAAUCGCACUUACUAAUAUUAGGUGUGGAUGACGGUACCGGAAGAAUAAGGACCGGCUAACUACGUGCCAGCAGCCGCGGUAAUACGUAGGGUCCAAGCGUUAAUCGGAAUUACUGGGCGUAAAGCGUGCGCAGGCGGUUGUGCAAGACCGAUGUGAAAUCCCCGGGCUUAACCUGGGAAUUGCAUUGGUGACUGCACGGCUAGAGUGUGUCAGAGGGGGGUAGAAUUCCACGUGUAGCAGUGAAAUGCGUAGAGAUGUGGAGGAAUACCGAUGGCGAAGCAGCCCCUCUGGGAUAACACUGACGCUCAUGCACGAAAGCGUNGGGAGCANACAGGAUUAGAUANCCCUGGUAGUCCACGCCCUAAACGAUGUCAACUAGUUGUUGGGGAUUCAUUUCCUUAGUAACGUAGCUAACGCGUGAAGUUGACCGCCUGGGGAGUACGGUCGCAAGAUUAAAACUCAAAGGAAUUGACGGGGACCCGCACAAGCGGUGGAUGAUGUGGAUUAAUUCGAUGCAACGCGAAAAACCUUACCUACCCUUGACAUGCCACUAACGAAGCAGAGAUGCAUUAGGUGCUCGAAAGAGAAAGUGGACACAGGUGCUGCAUGGCUGUCGUCAGCUCGUGUCGUGAGAUGUUGGGUUAAGUCCCGCAACGAGCGCAACCCUUGUCUCUAGUUGCUACGAAAGGGCACUCUAGAGAGACUGCCGGUGACAAACCGGAGGAAGGUGGGGAUGACGUCAAGUCCUCAUGGCCCUUAUGGGUAGGGCUUCACACGUCAUACAAUGGUGCAUACAGAGGGUUGCCAAGCCGCGAGGUGGAGCUAAUCCCAGAAAAUGCAUCGUAGUCCGGAUCGUAGUCUGCAACUCGACUACGUGAAGCUGGAAUCGCUAGUAAUCGCGGAUCAGCAUGCCGCGGUGAAUACGUUCCCGGGUCUUGUACACACCGCCCGUCACACCAUGGGAGUGGGUUUUGCCAGAAGUAGUUAGCCUAACCGCAAGGGGGGCGAUUACCACGGCAGGGUUCAUGACUGGGGUGAAGUCGUAACAAGGUA
rnacentral:rRNA from 1 species